rnacentral:rRNA from 1 species
GCGAAUGGCUCAUUAAAUCAGUUAUCGUUUAUUUGAUAGUACCUUACUACUUGGAUAACCGUGGKAAUUCUAGAGCUAAUACAUGCUAACAACCUCGACUUCGGAAGGGGUGUAUUUAUUAGAUAAAAAACCAAUGCCCUUCGGGGCUCCUUGGUGAUUCAUAAUAACUUAACGAAUCGCAUGGCCUUGUGCCGGCGAUGGUUCAUUCAAAUUUCUGCCCUAUCAACUUUCGAUGGUAUGGUCUUGGCUUACCAUGGUUUCAACGGGUAACGGGGAAUUAGGGUUCUAUUCCGGAGAGGGAGCCUGAGAAACGGCUACCACAUCCAAGGAAGGCAGCAGGCGCGCAAAUUACCCAAUCCCGACACGGGGAGGUAGUGACAAUAAAUACUGAUACAGGGCUCUUUUGGGUCUUGUAAUUGGAAUGAGUACAAUUUAAAUCCCUUAACGAGGAACAAUUGGAGGGCAAGUCUGGUGCCAGCAGCCGCGGUAAUUCCAGCUCCAAUAGCGUAUAUUAAAGUUGUUGCAGUUAAAAAGCUCGUAGUUGAACCUUGGGCCUGGUUGGCCGGUCCGCCUCACCGCGUGCACUGGUCCGACCGGGUCUUUCCUUCUGAGGAGCCGCAUGCCCUUCACUGGGUGUGUCGGGGAAUCAGGACUUUUACUUUGAAAAAAUUAGAGUGUUCAAAGCAGGCCUAUGCUCGAAUACAUUAGCAUGGAAUAAUAGAAUAGGACGUGUGGUUCUAUUUUGUUGGUUUCUAGGACCGCCGUAAUGAUUAAUAGGGACAGUCGGGGAUAUCAGUAUUCAAUUGUCAGAGGUGAAAUUCUUGGAUUUAUUGAAGACUAACUACUGCGAAAGCAUUUAUCAAGGAUGUUUUCAUUAAUCAGUGAACGAAAGUUAGGGGAUCGAAGACGAUCAGAUACCGUCGUARUCUUAACCAUWAACUAUGCCGACUAGGGAUCGGGCGAWGUUAUCUUUUUGACUCGCUCGGCACCUUACGAGAAAUCAAA